rnacentral:lncRNA from 1 species
AGAGUUAGGGAGAGGCGGCCGAGCUGCACACCUUGAGCCCCGGCCUCCUCCGAAGGGAACCCCUGCACCCCAGCGGGGUCAGCACAAGGUAGAGAAGGUAGAGGUCAGGGUGGAACAAAAGGGAAGGUCCCGCGGGUGUGCACGCUCUCGCAGGCACACAGCCGGCUCGCGGAGACACAGGGGCGGGGGAGGGGAGGGGAGGGGAGGGGAGGGCCUGACCUGAGAGGCCAGAGCGGGCGUGGGGGCCCCCCUCGGGUCAGGAGCCGGCCUCACCUUUGCAGUUCUUAUAUACCCGGCCAAGCAUCCCAAACACGCGGCCCUGGCCAAGUGGCCCCCUCGGGCUGCGCUCCCUGACCAUAUUUAGUCAAGCAGGGGAAAAAAUAGCCUGUCAGCUGGGCCGCGGCUGGCCCGGCCACCGGGAACAGGGUGGGAGCACCCACGCCAUUGACGGCGGGUCCCGGGCUCAGGCUGCUGUCCUGCCCCUCCCGGCCCCUCCCUGACAGGCCUCCCACCGGCUGUCCCUGCCCGAGAUCCCCCCGCUAUUUUUAGCCCAGCCAGUACAGAGGCGCCUCCUCAGUAGCCGGGCAGCAGCCUCCAUGCCAUGCCAGCCGGCUCCUAGGGUGCCCUGGGGAGACCCGGGCAUCUCCCAGGCUGCAGGGCCGGGGGUGGGGGGGGCGGGCAGAAUGGUACGGCCUCCUUCGCUGCUCUGAGCCUCCAGUGGGCUGAGCCCACCCAGGCCACCAGGAGUGGGUGGCCCCCUCCACAGUCCCAUCGGCUCUGCCCUUUUGCCUAGAAUUGGGGCCAGGAUCAGGUGGUGACAGAGCCACCUGGGUUUCCGGAGACUCUCAAGCCAACCCCAAGUCAUGACAAAUGCCAGUCGCCUUGGACAGAGGCAAGGUCAACCUGCUUGCCGCCCCCAGCCAGGCCCUGCCACCAAGGGGCCUGGACGCAGAGACCAGAGGCCUGAACUGGCAGACUGUCCUCACAGGCUGUGUGACGCUGGCUGGUCGUCCCAUCUCUCUGGGGCCCCACAGGACUGGGGACCAGGUCGUGGAAUGACAGUGGACCACAGUGGUCCGGGGACCCCGCUCGUUGGUGGCAGGCACAGGCCCGUGUGAUGGGGACAAUGAGCUUUGGUAUUUGUGAGUCCUGUCCAGAGCAUAGGUCCUCCUGUUCAGAAGCCACCUCAUAAAUGUCCCCAGUGCCUCCCGGACUUAGGAAGGCAUCCCCUUGUGGUUCUGGCCAGUUAGGGACACAGGGCCGGGGAGUCUAUGCCGCUCAGAACAGGCUCAGCUGCAUCUAAUCCCAGGGGAGCCCCUGAGGAGCCUGCACACCCCCCAGGCUGGCCCACAGGAGCUGAGGCAGGGCUCUCCUCCAGGUUCACCUCCUGGGCUCACGGCCCCUUCCCCACAUCCCAAGGCCGGCUCUGCAGAGUCAUGGGGAGAAGCCGGAGCCCCAGCCACACUCGCCACACACGCCGACACCCACUCUGGUGUCCUCCGGCCAGCGACAGCGAGGGACAGAGGGACGCCCCCUGCACCUGCCCAGUGCAGAGGCUUCUUGAGUGAUGCCAGGCCCUUCUCCCAGCCCUGUACGCCCCGCUAAAGACCCCAUGUCUCACCAUAAAGGAGGCCAGGAGGUUUUAAGCUUCUACCUGGUCUGAGCACUUUUCUGGAAACUAAAUAGCCACUCGGCUUCCCACUGGCAGCGGGAGAGCGUGGUGUGAGGUGUGGUGUCCAAACUCCCCCUGCAAGGCCCCUCCCCUGCAGCCCACUUCCUCCUGCCUGCCGUCUCCAGGCAGGGUUGAGGGGGGCAGGCCAGGCCUGCAGCUGGGGUCAGGGGCAUAGACAGCCACAAUGGGGGAGGUGGGGAGCAGUCUGCAGGCCUGGGCAGGCGGCUCUGUAAAGGAUGCGGGUGCUUUGUGGUGGUGAGAGAGAGGGUAUGCAGCAGACGUGGCCAUAAAUCACCCUCCUCACGGCAGCCCCACACCCACGGACCAGGGCACGGGCACAGGGCCAUCUCCUUCCAGGAGAAGGGCUGGUGUGGGUGGCCAGAUCUGACAGCCCCCAGGCCGUAGGACAGAGCCAGAAGACAGAGCAGUUCCCCCGUUUACCCAUAGCACCAGCCUCACAGUAACAGCCGGCACACAGCACUUAGGCUGCCUGGUGUUCCAGAAGCUUCUGCAGGGGCUCUAUGCUGCACUCAAGGCAUCCCUAAGAGGAGAGCAUUUUGCUGUCCCCACUUUACGGAGAAGGAACGUGGGCUCAGGGUGGUUUAAGGCGUGAAUGAAUGAAGGAGCAAGCAGUAAGCCCCGACAGCAAGGCCACCACAGCCCUCGCCCCACAGGGACGCCUGAGCAAGGACCCAAGCAGGGGACAAGCAGGCUCACCCCGCCCUUGCGGGGCUGACCACGAGGCCCCGUCCGGUGGAACACGCCAUGACGCUUCAGGAGGCUCAUGUAGCUGGCGCCGUAUGGGACAGCGGGGGAGAGAGAAAAUGCACAGCCCAGGGAAUGUGGAGACAGGCCCAGCGCCAGGCAUGGGGGCCGGAAGGAGCAGCCGGGGAGCAGGGGGCAGGGCCUGGAGUCCCGCCUUGCAGGUCAGAGAUCUGAACCUGCCCCAGCCCCAGGACUCUGAGUGCAGCAAGAGGGGAGCCGGGCUGGAGAGUGGGGAGCACGGAGACUGUGGCCUGGAUGGUGCCAGAGCAAACAGGAGAGAGGCUGCCCAACGCAGAGGCUGCAGCACAGACCAGAGGGUCCCGGGGCUGACUGGGUGGGGGCAGCUCCCAGCGAGAGGCCCCUGGGAUUUGGGUAAGUAGAGGCACAUGCAGACUCUGGCCACAGGGCACCUCGCGCACGAGGGGAGUUCACCACACAAGCUGAGCGGAGGGCGGACGCAGGAGAGCAGCGGUUUCUCGGAAGCCAAGGGCGGUCAUGGAGCCCCACGCCACAGCGCUUCCCACGGGGCCACACCAUCCGGUCUGCGGAGGGGGCUGCAUUGCCGGGAAGGACCAUCUGAUUCUGGAUUCCAGCCUCACCCUGGGCCACCGCUGAGUGUCCCAAGUGGCCCCUUAGCCCCCAGGGCCAGGCGGCAUCCCAAUCCCCUAGGGAUGUCUGUGCUCAGAAUGUGGCACACACGCCCCGGCAGGGCCAUCCUCCUCCUCCUGCACCCGCCACAGCCGUGGAUUCGGGGUCUCUAUCGUGGGCAGAAAUUCACACAGUCAAGGUGAGGGUCCCAGGAGCAGCUGUGACCAGGCCCCGGCUGCCAGGGAGAGGGGGUCUUCAGCCGACGGGGCAGACACCCUGAGAUGGACCCUUGUCCAGGGGAGGGCCCUGCCACCCACAAUUCCUUGGCAUUCCUGCACCAGCAGGACGGGCUGAGGGAGGCGCCUCACCAGUGCCAGCGCCCAGCAUCACUGUGCCCCGGUGGAGGGGGAGGCCCUUCCGAGCCUGGGCCUGGGUGUGGAUGAGGGCAGGUCUCUCACCUCUCUGACCUCAGCUUCCUCAACUGGGAAGGGGGGCCACAGCACCCCCUUAGGGGUGAUGAGGAAGUGGGAGCUCAGGGAGGACCCCGGGCAGGGCUGCCUCCUCACCUCUCUUCGGCCUUUGGACACUGGAGCUCAGAGGACCAAGUGAAUGAAUGAAUGACUCGAUCAAUCAACUGAUCCAUGAAUCCAUGGACCCCUGAACAGCUGGACAGCUGGGCUGUGGGCAGGACAGGGGACUCUGGCUGAAGCCGCGUUCAUAUGUGUUCAGCUUUGUGAGUGGGGCGAGGUUGAGGGCUUAUUCAGUGGGGGAGGUGCACGGCAGGGCCAGUACCCUUGGAGGGUCAGGCCACAGGGGCGGGGACACCUGCCAGGAUGCCCAACCCCAGAGGCAGUGGGAGCUGUUGGGGAGCCGUGGUCCCAGUCAGCGGUGGCUUGAUGAGGGCUGCUCCCACUUCAUCCGCAGGAUUCCAGCCGCAGCUACCCCACACCCGAGCUGUCCCUAGUCGCCCACCGCGGCCGGACAAAGCCCCAGCAGCCAAGGUGCUCCGUGGGGAGGGUUUCUUGGGUUUCUUGAAGCCAGUAUUUCCCAUAGUAUCUUACGUCCCAGCAGAGGCCUCCACUGUGCCCGGACCAGCGGCCCACUCAGUGAGUCGAGUGUGCACCUGGCACCCCUCUUUCUGGAAAUCCACGAACAAUGGGCUCCCAGCAGAGGACUGAGGCUGAGCAGGCCACUUCCCUGGAGCUGACCCCACAGCUGUCCUGCUCCUCCUUCGCCUUCUGCCAUGACUGUAAGCUUUCUGAGGGCUGACCAGAAGCCCAGCAGAUGCCAGCACCAUGCUUCCUAUACAGCCUGCAGAACCGUGAGCCAGCUAAACCUCUCCUCAUAAAUCACCGAGCCCCAGGUUUAUCUUUACAGCAAUGCAAGACCUGACUAAUACAGCACCAGCUCCCCAAAAUAAAAAGAAAUAUUCAAACAAAUAAGCGCACAGAAGUGUUCCCAGCAGCACUAUUCACAGCAGCCAAAAGGCGGAGGAGCCACAGGCUUGUCAGCUGAUGACAGAUAAAGAAAGCAUGGCCUGUCAUCCCAGCACUUUGGGAGGCCGAGGUGGGUGGAUCACCUGAGGUUGGGAGUUCAAGACCAGCCUGGCCAACAUGGUGAAACCCAGUCUCUACUAAAAAUAUAAAAAUUAGCUGGGUGUGAUGAUGAGCGCCUGUAGUCCCAGCUACUUGGAAGGCUGAGGAACAAGAAUCGCUUGAACCCGGGAGGCAGAGGUCGCAGUGAACCGAGAUC